AAAAGCUGGAUAGCGUGACGACUUCUGGCAACCGUACAGUUCACGGCAGACAGAUAAGACGAAGAUGAGGAAUUUAACAGCAGCACUGGCAGUGGAUGGAUCGACACGAGCAACGAAAAGUCUUUCUGCACAAUCGUGUAACAGUCACCAGUCAUCACACACAUGCUAGAUACGAAACGUAUCAUACAGCAUGCGGUACGUCGUAUGCCAAGCACAGAUGUCGCUGGAACGACAAAACUAUCCUGCCAAGCUAAUCAUAGCUCCUUGCCCCUGACAACCUGUCUCCUCUGAUUUUCUGCUUAGCUAUCCUCGGCGACCUCCAUCCUCUUUCUUUCUUUUUUCUCUCUUUUACUUCUUUUCUUUUCUGCACCUCUGUCUGCCUGUCUGCCUGCCCGCUUGCCUGCCUUCUUUCUAACGUUAGCCAUCAUAAUCCCAAGAAACAUAUGUGAACUUGGCCCACCAGCGAUACGAUACUUUUUCUCUUUUACAUAUUCAUCACGAUCUUUUUUCUACUUCACGAAAGACACGUGUUGCAAGUUCUUCUCGAACAAAAGCGUCUGGAUAAUGCGUCCUUUCAAACACUCUUUCCAAAGCGGCUAAUUGUUCUGCCGAGAAUGUUGUUCUACUUCUUCUGGGUCUUCUACAUGCAGGUGCCGUAGAAGUUUCAUUACAUUCUAUAAAAUACACAUGCCGCUCACGAUAAGGAAGUAACGUUUCCAAAACAUAAAAAGCAAAGAUGAGAAGCAGUACAGACGUAGCUAUUCUUGAAUGACUCCACUGUGUUCGAGCGUUCAUCAAAGCGGUAUAAUGCGAACAGCAUGACUGGAA